rnacentral:rRNA from 2 species
CAGUAACGGCGAGUGAAGCGGCAACAGCUCAAAUUUGAAAUCUGGCUCCUUCGGGGUCCGAAUUGUAAUUUGUAGAGAGUGCUUCGGGCGAGACCUCGGUCUAAGUCCAUUGGAACAUGGUGUCAUAGAGGGUGAGAAUCCCGUAUGCGACCGUGGCUCGAGCCCAUGUGAAGCCUCUUCGACGAGUCGAGUUGUUUGGGAAUGCAGCUCAAAAUGGGUGGUAAAUUUCAUCUAAAGCUAAAUACUGGCUGGAGACCGAUAGCGCACAAGUAGAGUGAUCGAAAGAUGAAAAGCACUUUGGAAAGAGAGUCAAACAGUACGUGAAAUUGUUGAAAGGGAAGCGCUUGCAACCAGACCUGCCCGUAGGCGAUCAGCCGCUGUUCUCAGCGGUGUACUCGCUCUGCGAUCAGGCCAGCAUCGGUUUCGGCGGUCGGAUAAAGACCUUGGGAAUGUAGCUUCCCUUCGGGGAAGUCUUAUAGCCCUCGGUGCAAUGCGGCCAGCCGGGACCGAGGACCGCGCUUCGGCUAGGAUGCUGGCGUAAUGGUUGUAAGCGACCCGUCUUGAAACACGGACCAAGGAGUCUAACAUCUAUGCGAGUGUUUGGGUGUCAAACCCAUACGCGGAAUGAAAGUGAACGGAGGUGAGAACCCUCAAGGGCGCAUCAUCGACCGAUCCAGAUGUCUUCGGAUGGAUUUGAGUAUGAGCAUAGCUGUUGGGACCCGAAAGAUGGUGAACUAUGCCUGAAUAGGGUGAAGCCAGAGGAAACUCUGGUGGAGGCUCGCAGCGGUUCUGACGUGCAAAUCGAUCGUCAAAUUUGGGUAUAGGGGCGAAAGACUAAUC